rnacentral:rRNA from 1 species
UGAUCCAGCAACGCCGCGUGAGGGAAGAAGGCCUUCGGGUUGUAAACCUCUUUUACCAGGGACGAAGGACGUGACGGUACCUGGAGAAAAAGCAACGGCUAACUACGUGCCAGCAGCCGCGGUAAUACGUAGGUUGCAAGCGUUGUCCGGAUUUACUGGGUGUAAAGGGCGUGUAGGCGGAGAUGCAAGUUGGGAGUGAAAUCCCGGGGCUCAACCCCGGAACUGCUUUCAAAACUGUAUCCCUUGAGUAUCGGAGAGGCAAGCGGAAUUCCUAGUGUAGCGGUGAAAUGCGUAGAUAUUAGGAGGAACACCAGUGGCGAAGGCGGCUUGCUGGACGACAACUGACGCUGAGGCGCGAAAGCGUGGGGAGCAAACAGGAUUAGAUACCCUGGUAGUCCACGCUGUAAACGAUGAAUACUAGGUGUGGGAGGACUGACCCCUUCCGUGCCGCAGUUAACACAAUAAGUAUUCCACCUGGGGAGUACGACCGCAAGGUUGAAACUCAAAGGAAUUGACGGGGGCCCGCACAAGCAGUGGAUUAUGUGGUUUAAUUCGACGCAACGCGAAGAACCUUACCAGGAUUUGACAUCCAACUAACGAAGCAGAGAUGCAUUAGGUGCCCUUCGGGGAAAGUUGAGACAGGUGGUGCAUGGUUGUCGUCAGCUCGUGUCGUGAGAUGUUGGGUUAAGUCCCGCAACGAGCGCAACCCCUAUUGUUAGUUGCUACGAAAGAGCACUCUAGCGAGACUGCCGUUGACAAAACGGAGGAAGGCGGGGACGACGUCAAAUCAUCAUGCCCCUUAUGACCUGGGCUACACACGUGCUACAAUGGACGGUACAACGAGUUGCGAAGUCGUGAGGCUAAGCUAAUCUCUUAAAGCCGUUCUCAGUUCGGAUUGUAGGCUGCAACUCGCCUACAUGAAGUUGGAAUCGCUAGUAAU